AGAGUUUGAUCAUGGCUCAGGACGAACGCUGGCGGCGUGCUUAACACAUGCAAGUCGAACGGAGGUUACGAGGAAGCUUGCGAAUCGUAACUUUAGUGGCGGACGGGUGAGUAACGCGUGGAUAACCUGCCUGUCAGACCGGGACAACACCGGGAAACCGGUGCUAAUACCGGAUAUACUGUAGAGUAGGCAUCUACUUUACAGGAAAAGAUUAACCUCUGCUUACAGAUGGAUCCGCGUCCCAUUAGCUAGCUGGUAGGGUAACGGCCUACCAGGGCGACGAUGGGUAGCCGGCCUGAGAGGGUGGUCGGCCACACUGGGACUGAGACACGGCCCAGACUCCUACGGGAGGCAGCAGUGGGGAAUCUUGCGCAAUGGGCGAAAGCCUGACGCAGCGACGCCGCGUGGGUGACGAAGGCCUUCGGGUCGUAAAACCCUGUUGCAGGGGACGAAGGAAGUGACGGUACCCUGCCAGAAAGCCCCGGCUAACUACGUGCCAGCAGCCGCG
rnacentral:rRNA from 1 species